rnacentral:rRNA from 1 species
CGGUGAACCGCGAAUGGCUCAUUAAAUCAGUCGAGGUUCCUUAGAUGAUCCAUUUCUACUUGGAUAACUGUGGUAAUUCUAGAGCUAAUACAUGCCCAACAGCUCCGACCCCGGGCUUCGCGGUUCGGGGAAAGAGCGCUUUUAUUAGUUCAAAACCAGUCGGGGGUUUCGGCCCUCGUGCUUUGGUGACUCUGGAUAACUUUGAGCCGAUCGCAUGGCCUCGAGCCGGCGACGCAUCUUUCAAAUGUCUGCCCUAUCAAAUGACGACGGUACGUGAUCUGCCUACCGUGUUGACUACGGGUAGCGGGGAAUCAGGGUUCGAUUCCGGAGAGGGAGCAUGAGAAACGGCUACCACAUCCAAGGAAGGCAGCAGGCGCGCAACUUACCCACUCCUGGCACGGGGAGGUAGUGACGAAAAAUAACAAUACGGAACUCUUUUGAGGCUCCGUAAUUGGAAUGAGUACACUUUAAACCCUUUAACGAGGAUCUAUUGGAGGGCAAGUCUGGUGCCAGCAGCCGCGGUAAUUCCAGCUCCAAUAGCGUAUAUUAAAGUUGUUGCGAUUAAAAAGCUCGUAGUUGGAUCUCAGGCAUGGGCGCGCGGUCCGCCUCGCGGUGGUCACUGCGUGUAAGUUAUUCCCAUCCUACGCUGCCGGUUGUUCAGCCCAUGGUGCUCUUGGUUGAGCGUUUUGGGUGGCCGGAACGUUUACUUUGAAGAAAUUAGAGUGUUCAAAGCAGGCCUUUCGCCUGAAUAAUGGUGCAUGGAAUAAUGGAAUAGGACCUCGGUUCUAUUUUGCUGGUUUUCGGAACACGAGGUAAUGAUUAAGAGGGACAGACGGGGGCAUCCGUAUUGCGGUGUUAGAGGUGAAAUUCUUGGAUCAUCGCAAGACGAACAACUGCGAAAGCAUUUGCCAAGCAUGUUUUCAUUAGUCAAGAACGAAAGUCAGAGGUUCGAAGACGAUCAUGAUACCGUCGUAGUUCUGACCAUAAACGAUGCCAACUAGCGAUACGCUGGUGUGCAUCCAUCGACUCUGCGGGCUAGCCUGCAGCGAAACUAACGUUCUACGGAUCUGGGGGUAGGUAUGGUAGCAAGGCUGCACCUUAUGGCAAUUGAACUGCACGGCACUCACUAUGAUGCGAUCCUGGCCUCAUUCAGCUGCACAGCGAGGUAUAGAAAUC